rnacentral:tRNA from 1 species
GGAGGAUUACUCAAGAGGCUGAAGAGGACGGUUUGCUAAAUCGUUAGGGCUCGAAUCCCUAAUCCUCCGCCA